GUGCUUGCUUCGGCAGCCCAUAUACUAAUAUUGGAAUGAUACAGAGAUUAGCGAGGAUGACAUGCAAAUUCGUGAAGUGUUUCAUAUUUUU
ensembl:snRNA U6 U6 spliceosomal RNA